CCUCCAGUCUAAUGAAAACACGGUUUGGGGGUCGAACCCCCGAGUCCGCACGGUGCAGCCGGUCUCUGUUGGUUCUGCUGCACGGAACAUAAAGGCUGAGAAAUAUUUUACAGUUCGAGAAGCCUUUUUAAAGCAGAAGGUGUGCAGGAUGUCAGUCGGUGUCUCUAGCGUCCAGAUGAAGACCUUUUCAUCAGGUACAGGUCCAGAUGAAGACCUUUUCAUCAGGUACAGGUCCAGAUGAAGACCCUUUCAUAGGGUACAGGUCCAGAUGAAGACCUUUUCAUCAGGUACAGGUCCAGGUGAAGUCCUUUUCAUCAGGUACGGGUCCAUAUGAAGACCUUUUCAUCAGGUACGGGUCCAUAUGAAGACCUUUUCAUAGGGUAGAGGUCCAUGGUCCAUAUGAAGACCUUUUCAUCAGGUACAGGUCCAUAUGAAGACCUUUUCAUCAGGUACAGGUCCAGAUGAAGACCUUUUCAUAGGGUACAGGUCCAUAUGAAGACCUUUUCAUCAGGUACAGGUCCAGAUGAAGACCUUUUCAUCAGGUACAGGUCCAUAUGAAGACCUUUUCAUCAGGUACAGGUCCAGAUGAAGACCUUUUCUUAGGGUACAGGUCCAUAUGAAGACCUUUUCAUCAGGUACAGGUUCAGAUGAAGACCUUUUCAUAGGGUACAGGUCCAGAUGAAGACCUUUUCAUCGGGUACAGGUCCAGAUGAAGACCUUUUCAUAGGGUACAGGUCCAGAUGAAGACCUUUUCAUCAGGUCCAGAUGAAGACCUUUUCAUCAGGUACAGGUCCAGAUGAAGACCUUUUCAUCAGGUCCAGAUGAAGACCUUUUCAUCAGGUACAGGUCCAGAUGAAGACCUUUUCAUAGGGUAGAGGUCCAUAUGAAGACCUUUUCAUAGGGUACAGGUCCAGAUGAAGACCUUUUCAUAGGGUACAGGUCCAGAUGAAGACCUUUUCAUCAGGUACAGGUCCAUAUGAAGACCUUUUCAUCAGGUCCAUAUGAAGACCUUUUCAUCAGGUACAGGUCCAGAUGAAGACCUUUUCUUAGGGUACAGGUCCAUAUGAAGACCUUUUCAUCAGGUACAGGUUCAGAUGAAGACCUUUUCAUAGGGUACAGGUCCAGAUGAAGACCUUUUCAUCGGGUACAGGUCCAGAUGAAGACCUUUUCAUAGGGUACAGGUCCAGAUGAAGACCUUUUCAUCAGGUCCAGAUGAAGACCUUUUCAUCAGGUACAGGUCCAGAUGAAGACCUUUUCAUAGGGUAGAGGUCCAGAUGAAGACCUUUUCAUAGGGUACAGGUCCAGAUGAAGACCUUUUCAUAGGGUACAGGUCCAGAUGAAGACAAAGGUAUACAUGUCGUUGUUUGUGAGCUCGUCUUUGUUGACACGAGACGUUCUGCGUC